UACGAAGGGGGCUAGCGUUGCUCGGAAUCACUGGGCGUAAAGCGCACGUAGGCGGAUUGCUAAGUCAGGGGUGAAAUCCUGGAGCUCAACUCCAGAACUGCCUUUGAUACUGGCGAUCUCGAGUCCGGGAGAGGUGAGUGGAACUGCGAGUGUAGAGGUGAAAUUCGUAGAUAUUCGCAAGAACACCAGUGGCGAAGGCGGCUCACUGGUCCGGUACUGACGCUGAGGUGCGAAAGCGUGGGGAGCAAACAGG
rnacentral:rRNA from 1 species